CGAGUUUCUUUUUUCCUGAACUGAUAUAUAACUAAACAAAAACCGCCUACAUUUGAAAUACAAACAUAUAAGCAAGUUGCAAUAAUUGGGAAGAGAGAAAAUCAACCGAACCAAAUAUUGGUAGCACUUUACCGUAUAAUGGCUACAAUAUCAGACUUGACAGGGGAGCCACGUGACAUCCAUAUCAAGUAUUAUGGUUGGAAUUUUGGAUACCAUUAGUAUAGAUGGAGUUUGUCCAUUGGCCAAGACAAAAUUUAAGCCACCAACCUGCAAAAGCACAAAAAUCCAAGGAACAAAAUAUAUAAGUACGCACUUUGAAAAUUCUCAAGGCAAAAUCUCAUAAUAUUUAACAAAAAUUACAAUUUUAUUAAGCAGAAUAUUAGUGGAAUACUGAUCAUUAAUGGGUGGUAGUCGAAUAAACAAGAAGCAUUGAGAUAAGAAAAUAAAGACUCAAUUAUUGGCAUAUUGUGCCUCAUCUCUUCCACGAUAAGGAGACCUUCUAACGCGACCUCAAGGUGACAAACUUCGACGUCAAGGAGAACGGUCGCAAGGACUCAAAACUCCUGAUUCAAUUAACGUCAUUCAAACAUUGAGUUAAAAAUAACAGUCAAAGUUCUUUAUUCUUUCCCAAAAACGAAAAACCUAGCAACUCAAUAUAUAUUACCUUCGUAGCGUGGGCUCCUGCAAUAUCUAGGAGAAGUAUGAUUCUUAUGCUUUCGAGAACCUCCAUGGGUCAUGCAAGUAUGGAAAAAAUGGUCAUUCUCACCAGACUCGUAGCAUUUUAAAUCAAAACCAGAACGAUUGUACCCCCUACCACCACCACAGUCACUGUCGCUGCCAUUACCACCAAUCCAUCGUCGUGACGACUUCCAUCCCUAGAAUUGUGAGAAGGCUUUAUUCUCUAGCCAUUUUUACCUAUUUCAAUUUACAAGGAUAUGAUUUCUAGCAUAUUACAUAAGAAAUUUAACGUCAGAAUGUUGAUUGAAGAAAAUACAACAUGAUAAAGAUAACAGGUAAAAAAACCCAGCACAUAAAAAAAUUAACAUUUCAAUAUUGAAUAAACAUGAGAUCUAAUAGAAAUUGUUUUUUUCUCUAACACUCACCAGACCACUUUACUGGAAACCCUCUCAUGUACUUUGGAGAACAUGGAUGCAAUGCAAAUGUCGGCAUUACGAAGGUUUACUUGUGAAGAUUCAUGUUGAAAGACCAAUAAUAAUAUAUAUUAUUUAAAUGCAU
rnacentral:lncRNA from 1 species